rnacentral:rRNA from 1 species
AAACGUAGGGGGCGAGCGUUGUCCGGAAUUACUGGGCGUAAAGGGCGCGUAGGCGGUUUCUUAAGUCUCGAGGUGAAAACUAUCGGCUUAACCGGUAGCCUGCCUGAGAAACUGGGAGACUUGAGGGCAGGAGAGGGGAGUGGAAUUCCCAGUGUAGCGGUGAAAUGCGUAGAUAUUGGGAGGAACACCGGUGGCGAAGGCGGCUCUCUGGCCUGUUACUGACGCUGAGGCGCGAAAGCGUGGGGAGCGAACGGGAUUAGAUACCCCGGUAGUCCACGCCGUAAACGAUGGGUGCUAGGUGUAGGAGGUAUCGACCCCUUCUGUGCCGUAGUUAACACAAUAAGCACCCCGCCUGGGGAGUACGGCCGCAAGGUUGAA